AUUGAACGCUGGCGGCAUGCCUUACACAUGCAAGUCGAACGGCAGCACGGGAGCAAUCCUGGUGGCGAGUGGCGAACGGGUGAGUAAUAUAUCGGAACGUGCCCAGUCGUGGGGAUAACGUAGCGAAAGCUACGCUAAUACCGCAUACGAUCUAUGGAUGAAAGCGGGGGAGUCGCAAGACCUCGCGCGAUUGGAGCGGCCGAUAUCAGAUUAGGUAGUUGGUGAGGUAAAGGCUCACCAAGCCGACGAUCUGUAGCUGGUCUGAGAGGACGACCAGCCACACUGGGACUGAGACACGGCCCAGACUCCUACGGGAGGCAGCAGUAGGGAAUUUUGGACAAUGGGCGCAAGCCUGAUCCAGCAAUGCCGCGUGCAGGAUGAAGGCCUUC
rnacentral:rRNA from 1 species